ACAAUGCAAAUGAUACGACAGAUAAAGAAAGAACAGCAUAACAAGACAUAUAACUGAGAUAAACUUGCAGCUCAUUACCUCAUAAUGAAUUUGAUUGAUAAUAUGAUCUGGUCGUGUGUCCAAAGUUCCUUUCCUCAACCAAAAAAAAUGAGCACCUCUAUCUAUUUUGUGUGUCCAAGUCAAGGAAACGUUGUACCAGUUCUCUUCAUACCAAUGUAAAAGAACUUGCGUUAAUAUUGCUUGCACUUUAGAACAACAAAUAGUCAUCAAUUGAGGAUAUAUAGAGUCCUGCUAGCCUGAGGACACAGCCUCCUGCCUCAAGAACAACAUUCUCUGCUUUUAGAAGGACGUCAGUACGAGGGCUUCUGCCAAUUGGCACAGAUGGGCAAUC
rnacentral:lncRNA from 1 species